rnacentral:rRNA from 1 species
UACGUAGGGUGCAAGCGUUAAUCGGAAUUACUGGGCGUAAAGCGUGCGCAGGCGGUUUUGUAAGACAGAGGUGAAAUCCCCGGGCUCAACCUGGGAACUGCCUUGUCGUACUGCAUGGCAGCUUGAGUGCGGCAGAGGGGGAUGGAAUUCCGCGUGUAGCAGUGAAAUGCGUAGAUAUGCGGAGGAACACCGAUGGCGAAGGCAAUCCCCUGGGCCUGCACUGACGCUCAUGCACGAAAGCGUGGGGAGCAAACAGG